UUCUAGAAAGUAUAAGAGGUCCCGCCUGCCCUGUGACUAUACGUUCAACGGCCGCGGUAUUUUGACCGUGCGAAGGUAGCGCAAUCACUUGUCUCUUAAAUGGAGACCUGUAUGAAUGGCAUAACGAGGGCUUGACUGUCUCCUUUUUCAGGUCAAUGAAAUUGAUCUUCCCGUGCAGAAGCGGGAAUAAAACCAUAAGACGAGAAGACCCUAUGGAGCUUUAGACACGAAGGCAGCCCAUCUUAAAACCCCGGGUAAUCGGGCACAAGCUUAAUGGGCCCUGCCCUAAUGUCUUUGGUUGGGGCGACCGCGGAGUAGAAAAAAACCUCCGCAUGGACUGGGCAUACACUUUCCCACAGCUAAGAGCGACACCUCUAGCCAACAGUAUUUCUGACCUAAAUGAUCCGGCAACGCCGAUUAACGGACCGAGUUACCCUAGGGAUAACAGCGCAAUCCCCUUUUAGAGCCCAUAUCGACAAGGGGGUUUACGACCUCGAUGUUGGAUCAGGACAUCCUAAUGGUGCAGCCGCUAUUAAGGGUUCGUUUGUUCAACGGUUAAAGUC
rnacentral:rRNA from 1 species